ACGUAGUGCGCAGGCGCAACUUUGAGGCCGCCGUUAGGAGGGCGGGACGGGGCCAAAAAGGUGAAUGGGGGCGGAGCUAAGGUCCGCUCGAGGAGGCGGGGUCAGAAUCACGGGGCGGGGCCGAAGUUUCCUGAGGCCGGAUGUAGGAGUCUUAAGCGGUGGGGGAUCCACGAACCUGGCGGGUGGUUUGCAGUGCGCAGGCGUAACACGAGGGGUCGCGCUAGGUUCGGAGUGGACUGUCCCUUCCCUGCACAGGAAAGAGAAAGGGGGAGUGGGUAGUAGCCACUCAAGGGGUGUGGUGGAAGCGGGAGGGGCGGGGCCAAAGUUUCCCUUGGCAGGAGGCGGAUGAGAGGCGGGGGCCAGGGGAGGGGCCCAGGACUCAAUGCUCCUGAUUAGGCAAGAGCUGGCAGCUGGUGGAGAGCUGAGUCCCUUUUCUAGAAGUAGAGUCCUACCUUUUCCUCCCCUCUCCCCUAGUGUAUCCUUUGCAGACCCUCGGACCUGGACACCGUUUGGUGCGCUUCUGUGGGCACAUUCCCCUACUGAUUCAUGCAUCUGUCAACUGAAGUAUCACGCCGCUGGUUGUAGGUUCCACAGCCACCUCCUCAGAGCCUCAUCACUCCUGUGCUUCCCCAGCUGCCUACCCAGUAAAAAGCUGAUGACAUUUUUGGAGGCCAGGGCGGAUCUGAGGUAUUUGUCUGCUACCCCUCUCAUGCUGGGCGUGGACUUCCUGGGACUGACUUUAGAGGUUCUUUUAUCCAUGACUGGUUGAUGGCACAGAUGGUUUCAGGAAGAGAAGGCCUGCGAAAGUUGAUGGAAUCCAGAAUUACCUGUAGGAGAAAUACAAAGUGCCCCGGAAGCUCCUCUGCAUUUUCAUCUCCCGGACACACACACACACACACACACACACACACACACACACACACACACACAUGCAGUUAUUAGAUACUGGCUUGAGACAACAUCUGAUUUGAAAUGUCAGCUUUAUCAUUUCUUUGAUUCCCACAUAUAUACGAAAAUAUUUUAAGAAUCUUUAUUUUGUUCCAUUGACAUAGUUAUCAAUUCCUGUUUCAAUUGCUAAUCCUAUAG
rnacentral:lncRNA from 1 species